GUCCUUCACUUGGUGGAAUCUGGAAGUUGUAAAACUCCACCAUGUUUUGCUCCAAGUGUUCCUGCUCAUAGAGACAAGGCAGAGAUCAAGUGCAUGGGCCCUGUUGGUGGAAAACACCAACAGAACCAAAAGUGUAAUUGUUCUUCUCUAACCUUAAGCAUAGUGAGCAAGACAAAGUUGAUAGAUGAUAAGAUCAUGAGUGUAACAUUUAAAACAUUUGUCGGAUCAGAUCGCUCAACCUAAUGGAA
rnacentral:lncRNA from 1 species